CUUUAUGUACAUUCCUACAACAUUAAUGCAUCAGAUACCAUCAAAACUUUGUAGUUAAGUCCACUUGGGACAAAGUAGUAUUGGGAUGGGUGACCUCUCAGGAAGUCCUAGUGUUUAACAUGC
rnacentral:rRNA from 1 species